GACGAACGCUGGCGGCGUGCUUAACACAUGCAAGUCGAGCGGUAAGGCUCUUUCGGGAGUACACGAGCGGCGAACGGGUGAGUAACACGUGAGCAAUCUGCCCUUCACUUUGGGAUAACCUCCGGAAACGGUGGCUAAUACCGAAUAUGACCACUUCACGCAUGUGAUGGUGGUGGAAAGUUCUGGCGGUGGAGGAUGAGCUCGCGGCCUAUCAGCUUGUUGGUGAGGUAAUGGCUCACCAAGGCUUCGACGGGUAGCCGGCCUGAGAGGGUGACCGGCCACACUGGGACUGAGACACGGCCCAGACUCCUACGGGAGGCAGCAGUGGGGAAUAUUGGACAAUGGGCGAAAGCCUGAUCCAGCAACGCCGCGUGAGGGAUGACGGCCUUCGGGUUGUAAACCUCUUUCAGUACCGACGAAGCGAAAGUGACGGUAGGUACAGAAGAAGGACCGGCCAACUACGUGCCAGCCGCCGCAGUAA
rnacentral:rRNA from 1 species